UUGACUGAAUGAGAUGGUUCCCAAAGCGGCGGCAGGGGCUCAGCUGCACACCAGUGCGGGGACCUGACGCCUCUUCUCUUCUUCUCCCUGCAGACCCAGAAGCUGCCACGACGACGACGGCGGCGGGCGGCGGUAACCCGCCGCCUGGUCGGCCUGGUGGGCUGUGGAUGCCUCCGCUUUUUUCUUCCGGUCCUGGAAGGUGUGUCCUAACAGCGGGAUAGGCAGCUGACAGGCAACCAGUCACUGCUUGAACAUCAUCCGAAUGAUUUCUUCACGGGCUUUUUGAUCUGCACGCACAGUAUCCAGGUUUGGGCCUGAAAGACGUGCCAGACCUGCUGCCAAAGCAUCGGCCUCCACCUCACCCUGCAGACAUGGCUGAUACGCACACCGACGCACACACACGCACACACAAACGUGAGUUUCUUUCAUGUUUAUUUUUCUGCAUUUACAGCCACCUGAAGAAAAUAGUUUCAUCGUGGAGAGUAUGAAUUAAGCAUCAUGUUUUUUUGGGGGGGGCAAUUCAGUUGUUGAUCAGCGGUGUUCAACUUUGAGGAGCUCCCUUGCCUUUUCGUGCAACACCUCAUAUCGCUUGAUGCAUUCCUUAAUGUUCUGCACUGUAGAGCGUGAGCUAUGCAAACCUCUUUCGAUUUUUUUUUUGGACUCGCUAUUAGUUUAGUCACUUUUGGGGGCCGAGCACAGCGCAGCAAUCACUCAUUACAAUCCCUAAUUUGUCCUUGUAAGCAUUUCAAGGCAUAAAUUACAGCAAUUGUGGUUACUCAGUUACUUGCAUUGAAACAUUGGUUUUGUUGUGUUUGUCAACAGGAAAUGAGAAUCUAAUUGAUUUUGGGUGGGAAGCCAAAAAAGAUCUAUUUUUUUCUUUAUGCUGUCUGUUUUGAACAUUGCAAACGAGGGCAUUAGUAGGCAACUGCCAAAGAGAUGACACACGGGGUAUGGUAUAAACCGUUCAAUUCGACAAGGUCAGCAUGAAAAUUGAGUGGCACAAAAAUGACGUGAGUGGUUGGCAAUCAGUCCAGGAUGUACCCUUCCUCUCGCCCAAAGUCAGCUCCAGCUGCCCUGGGACCUCAACGAGCACAAGUGCUAUAGAAAAUGGUUGGAUGGCC